GAGAAGAACGCAGCGAAAUGCGAUAAGUAAUGUGAAUUGCAGAAUUCAGUGAAUCAUCGAAUCUUUGAACGCACCUUGCACCCUUUGGCAUUCCGAAGGGUAUGCUCGUUUGAGUGUCAUUGUACUCUCACACUUCCGAUCUUUGGAUUGGGAGCGGUGGACUUGGGUGUUGCUGCUUACUGUGGCUCACCUCAAAUCGAUUCGUGCACCUCUUGGUUGGACAUAGUACGGCGUGAUAAGUGUCUUCGCCGGCACCUCAGUAGAGGGUGGCUGAUCGGGAGCUCUGCUUCAAACCGUCCUCGGACAACAACUGACAACUUGACCUCAAAUCGAGUAGGACUACCCGCUGAACUUAAGCAUAUCAAUAAGCGGAGGA
rnacentral:misc_RNA from 1 species